GCGGGACUUCGUCGUCUCCGUUUCUCUUUCUUCACGGACGAGCACGCGUUCGGCCUGCCUCGUGGCGGACCGAGGUCCCUGACGGGAUAUGCCUCAGGGGCUUGUAGCUCAGUUGGUUAGAGCGCGCGCUUGAUAAGCGUGAGGUCGGAAGUUCAAGUCUUCCCAGGCCCACCAGAUCCAUCGAAUGGGGUUGCGGGCGGUGGCCACGGGGCCAUAGCUCAGUUGGGAGAGCGCGUGCUUUGCAAGCAUGAGGUCGUCGGUUCGAUCCCGUCUGGCUCCACCAUCCCCUGCUGCUCGGCAGCUUCGGGUGGCAGGCUGGUCAGGCGUGUGGGUCGCUUCGUCCGUAGAACGGGGUUUGCAGGGUCUUCGCCGAUGGCGAGGGGCCUGCGGGUUUUUUGACAUUGUGAAGAGGACAUCCAUCCGGUUUGUGACCGGCCCGCUGGGGCUGGACGCAACCCCGGCGGCUUCGGCUGCCUUUGCCGGAUGGAUGCGAAGCAAGAUGGUCUUAUCUGUCGUGCGCGCUUCGCCUGGGG
rnacentral:tRNA from 1 species